rnacentral:rRNA from 1 species
UGGAUAACCCUACCUAUAAGACUGGUAUAACUUCGGGAAACCGGAGCUAAUACCGGAUAAUAUAUUGAACCGCAUGGUUCAAUAGUGAAAGACGGUUUUGCUGUCACUUAUAGAUGGAUCCGCGCCGCAUUAGCUAUUGGUAAGGUAACGGCUUACCAAGGCAACGAUGCGUAGCCGACCUGAGAGGGUGAUCGGCCACACUGGAACUGAGACACGGUCCAGACUCCUACGGGAGGCAGCAGUAGGGAAUCUUCCGCAAUGGGCGAAAGCUUGACGGAGCAACGCCGCGUGAGUGAUGAAGGUCUUCGGAUCGUAAAACUCUGUUAUUAGGGAAGAACAAAUGUGUAAGUAACUAUGCACGUCUUGACGGUACCUAAUCAGAAAGCCACGGCUAACUACGUGCCAGCAGCCGCGGUAAUACGUAGGUGGCAAGCGUUAUCCGGAAUUAUUGGGCGUAAAGCGCGCGUAGGCGGCUUUUUAAGUCUGAUGUGAAAGCCCACGGCUCAACCGUGGAGGGUCAUUGGAAACUGGAAAACUUGAGCGCAGAAGAGGAAAGUGGAAUUCCAUGUGUAGCGGUGAAAUGCGCAGAGAUAUGGAGGAACACCAGUGGCGAAGGCGACUUUCUGGUCUGUAACUGACGCUGAUGUGCGAAAGCGUGGGGAUCAAACAGGAUUAGAUACCUGGUAGUCCACGCCGUAAACGAUGAGUGCUAAGUGUUAGGGGGUUUCCGCCCCUUAGUGCUGCAGCUAACGCAUUAAGCACUCCGCCUGGGGAGUACGAC